GAUGAACGCUGGCGGCGUGCCUAAUACAUGCAAGUCGAGCGAACGGACGAGAAGCUUGCUUCUCUGAUGUUAGCGGCGGACGGGUGAGUAACACGUGGAUAACCUACCUAUAAGACUGGGAUAACUUCGGGAAACCGGAGCUAAUACCGGAUAAUAUUUUGAACCGCAUGGUUCAAAAGUAAAAGACGGUCUUGCUGUCACUUAUAGAUGGAUCCGCGCUGCAUUAGCUAGUUGGUAAGGUAACGGCUUACCAAGGCAACGAUGCAUAGCCGACCUGAGAGGGUGAUCGGCCACACUGGAACUGAGACACGGUCCAGACGCCUACGGGAGGCAGCAGUAGGGAAUCUUCCGCAAUGGGCGAAAGCCUGACGGAGCAACGCCGCGUGAGUGAUGAAGGUCUUCGGAUCGUAAAGCUCUGUUAUUAGGGAAGAACAUAUGUGUAAGUAACUGUGCACAUCUUGACGGUACCUAAUCAGAAAGCCACGGCUAACUACGUG
rnacentral:rRNA from 1 species